rnacentral:lncRNA from 1 species
GCUGCAGUGAUCAUCACUCUCCUGGCUGCAGUGAGCUGCAAUGGUCAUCACUCUCCUGCUGCAAUGAUCAUCACUCUUCUGGCUGCAGUGAACUGCAGUGGUCAUCACUCUCCUGGCUGCAGUGAGCUGCAAUGGUCAUCACCCUCCUGGCUGCAGUGAGCUGCAGUGGUCAUCACUCUCCUGGCUGCAGUGAGCUGCAGUGGUCAUCACUCUCCUGGCUGCAGUGAGCUGCAGUGAUCAUAACCCUCCUGGCUGCAGUGAGCUGCAGUGGUCAUCACCCUCCUGCUGCAGUGGUCAUCACUCUCCUGGCUGCAGUGAGCUGCAGUGGUCAUCACCCUCCUGGCUGCAGUGAGCUGCAGUGGUCAUCACUCUCCUGGCUGCAGUGAGCUGCAGUGGUCAUCACCCUCCUGGCUGCAGUGAGCUGCAGUGGUCAUCACUCUCCUGGCUGCAGUGAGCUGCAGUGGUCAUCACCCUCCUGGCUGCAGUGAGCUGCAGUGGUCAUCACUCUCCUGGCUGCAGUGAGCUGCAGUGG